rnacentral:rRNA from 1 species
UACGGGGGGAGCAAGCGUUGUUCGGAAUUACUGGGCGUAAAGCGUGCGCAGGCGGCUUUGCAAGACAGAUGUGAAAUCCCCGGGCUUAACGUGGGAACUGCAUUUGUGACUGCAUGGCUGGAGUGCGGCAGAGGGGGAUGGAAUUCCGCGUGUAGCAGUGAAAUGCGUAGAUAUGCGGAGGAACACCGAUGGCGAAGGCAAUCCCCUGGGCCUGCACUGACGCUCAUGCACGAAAGCGUGGGGAGCAAACAGG